rnacentral:lncRNA from 1 species
GAAAGAUGUUCUACUAGAAAUAUUCUUGUUAUUGCUUCGACUCAUAUUCCCCAAAAAGUGGAUCCCGCUCUAAUAGCUCCGAAUAAAUUAAAUACGUGCAUUAAGCUACGAAGGCUUCUUAUUCCACAACAACGAAAGCACUUUUUCACUCUUUCAUAUACUAGGGGAUUUCACUUGGAAAAGAAAAUGUUCCAUACUAACGGAUUCGGGUCCAUAACCAUGGGUUCCAAUGCACGAGAUCUUGUAGAACUUACCAAUGAGGUCCUAUCGAUUAGUAUUACACAGAAGAAAUCAAUUAUAGACACUAAUACAAUUAGAUCCGCUCUUCAUAGACAAACUUGGGAUUUGCGAUCCCAGGUAAGAUCGGUUCAGGAUCAUGGGAUCCUUUUCUAUCAGAUAGGAAGGGCUGUAGCACAAAAUGUACUUCUAAGUAAUUGCCCCAUAGAUCCUAUAUCUAUCUAUAUGAAGAAGAAAUCAUGUAACGAAGGGGAUUCUUAUUUGUACAAAUGGUACUUCGAGCUUGGAACGAGCAUGAAGAGAUUAACGAUACUUCUUUAUCUUUUGAGUUGUUCUGCCGGAUCGGUCGUUCAAGAUCUUUGGUCUUUAUCCGGACCCGAUGAAAAAAAUGGGAUCACUUCUUAUGGACUCGUUGAGAAUGAUUCUGAUCUAGUUCAUGGCCUAUUAGAAGUAGAAGGCGCUCUGGUGGGAUCUUCACGGACAGAAAAAGAUUGCAGUCAGUUUGAUAAUGAUCGAGUGACAUUGCUUCUUCGGCCCGAACCGAGGAAUCCCUUAGAUAUGAUGCAAAAGGGCUCUUGGUCUAUCCUUGAUCAGAGAUUUCUCUAUGAAACGGAGUUUGAAGAAGGGGAGGGAGAAGGAGCCCUUGACCCGCAGGAGGAUUUAUUCAAUCACAUAGUUUGGGCUCCUAGAAUAUGGAGCCCUUGGGGCAAUAAAAAGAGGAGCCCAUUAGAUCCAAAUAGUGAAUCGUAAUAGAAAUAUAAAAUAAAGUUCAGGUUAGAAUUCCAUAGAAUAGAUAAUAUGGAUGGGGUUGUCUAUAAUUAUAGACAAAUGAAAGACUUUCUCAAGAUUCUGAUUCAUCCACUUGAGAUUUUUAAAUUAAAAUAGGUUGGGUGAGCUUGCAAAUUAACUCAAUCUCAUUGAAUAAGUAAACAAUUGAAUUGGUUCAAUUGCAUGGUGCCAACGAAAUCGAGUGCUAAUUCCCAUUUUAUUAAAAUAACCGAUCGACGUGCUAGCGGACAUUUACUUUGAAUUCGAUAAUUUUUGAAAAAACAUUUCAACAUAUUUAUUUAUUUAUUUUAUUAUUAUGAGAAUCAAUCCGACUACUUAUGGUUCUGGGGUUUCCACGCUUGAAAAAAAAACUUGGGGCUUGUCGUCCAAAUCAUCGGUCCGGUACUAGAUGUAGCCUUUCCCCCGGGCAAGAUACCAAAUAUUUAUAACGCUCUCGUAGUUCAAGGUCGAGAUAGUGUUGGUCAAACAAUUAAUGUGGCUUGUUAGGUACAACAAUUAUUAGGAAAUAAUCGAGUUAGAGCUGUAGCUAUGAGUGCUACAGACGAUUUAACGAGAGGAAUGGAAGUGAUUGACACAAGAGCUCCUCUAAGUGUUCCGGUCGGGGGAGCGACUCUGGGACGAAUAUUUAAUGUGCUCGGAGAGCCUAUUGAUAAUUUAGGGCCUGAAGAUACUAGUACAACGUCUCCUAUUCAUAAAUCUGCGCCCGCCUUUAUACAGUUGGAUACAAAAUUAUCUAUUUUUGAAACAGGAAUUAAAGUAGUAGAUCUUUUAGCCCCUUAUCGCCGUGGAGGAAAAAUCGGACUAUUCGGGGGGGCUGGAGUGGGUAAAACAGUACUCAUUAUGGAAUUGAUUAACAAUAUUGCUAAAGCUCACGGGGGCGUAUCCGUAUUUGGCGGAGUGGGUGAACGUACUCGGGAAGGAAAUGAUCUUUACAUGGAAAUGAAAGAAUCUGGAGUGAUUAAUGAAGAAAAUAUUGCAGAAUCAAAAGUGGCCCUAGUUUACGGUCAGAUGAAUGAACCACCAGGAGCUCGUAUGAGAGUUGGUUUGACUGCCCUAACUAUGGCGGAAUAUUUCCGAGAUGUUAAUGAGCAAGACGUACUUCUAUUUAUUGACAAUAUCUUCCGUUUCGUCCAAGCAGGAUCCGAAGUAUCGGCCUUAUUGGGUAGAAUGCCCUCCGCUGUGGGUUAUCAACCGACCCUAAGUACUGAAAUGGGUUCUUUACAAGAAAGAAUUACUUCUACCAAAGAAGGGUCCAUAACCUCUAUUCAAGCAGUUUAUGUACCCGCAGACGAUUUGACCGACCCUGCUCCUGCUACGACAUUUGCACAUUUAGAUGCUACUACCGUACUAUCAAGAGGAUUGGCUGCCAAAGGUAUUUAUCCAGCAGUAGAUCCUUUAGAUUCAACGUCAACCAUGCUUCAACCUCGGAUCGUUGGUGAGGAACAUUACGAAACCGCCCAACGAGUUAAGCAAACUUUACAACGUUACAAAGAACUUCAGGACAUUAUAGCUAUCCUUGGAUUGGACGAAUUAUCCGAAGAGGAUCGUUUACUCGUAGCAAGAGCGCGAAAAAUUGAGCGUUUCUUAUCACAACCCUUUUUCGUAGCAGAAGUAUUUACCGGUUCUCCAGGGAAAUAUGUUGGUCUAGCAGAAACAAUUCGAGGAUUUCAAUUGAUCCUUUCCGGAGAAUUAGAUGGUCUUCCUGAACAGGCCUUUUAUUUGGUAGGUAAUAUCGAUGAAGCUACCGCGAAGGCUAUGAACUUAGAAAUGGAGAGCAAUUUGAAGAAAUGACCUUAAAUCUUAGUGUACUGACUCCUAAUCGAAUUGUUUGGGAUUCAGAAGUGGAAGAAAUCGUGUUAUCUACUAAUAGUGGUCAAAUUGGCAUAUUACCAAAUCACGCCCCUAUUGCCACAGCUGUAGAUAUAGGGAUUUUGCGAAUACGCCUUAACAACCAAUGGUUAACGAUGGCUCUGAUGGGUGGUUUUGCUAGAAUAGGCAAUAAUGAGAUCACUGUUUUAGUAAAUGAUGCGGAGAAGGGUAGUGACAC